rnacentral:rRNA from 1 species
AGUGAACGCUGGCGGCAGGCCUAACACAUGCAAGUCGAGCGGCAGCGCGGGGGCAACCCUGGCGGCGAGAGGCGGACGGGUGAGGAAUGCGUCGGAAUCUGCCUCUGUGUGGGGGAUAACGUAGGGAAACUUACGCUCAUACCGCAUACGACCUACGGGUGAAAGUGGCGGACCGCAAGGCCUCACGCAGCGGGAAUGACCGAAGCCGGAUUAGCAAGUUGGGGGGGUAAAGGCCCACAAAGGCGACGAUCCGUAGCUGGUCUGAGAGGAUGAUCAGCCACACUGGAACUGAGACACGGUCCAGACUCCUACGGGAGGCAGCAGUGGGGAAUAUUGGACAAUGGGCGCAAGCCUGAUCCAGCCAUGCCGCGUGUGUGAAGAAGGCCUUCGGGUUGUAAAGCACUUUUGUCCGGAAAGAAAAGCAUUCGGUUAAUAACCGGGUGUCAUGACGGUACCGGAAGAAUAAGCACCGGCUAACUUCGUGCCAGCCGCCGCAGUAACAC